rnacentral:rRNA from 1 species
GAUGAACGCUGGCGGCGUGCCUAAUACAUGCAAGUCGAGCGAACGGACGAGAAGCUUGCUUCUCUGAUGUUAGCGGCGGACGGGUGAGUAACACGUGUAUAACCUACCUAUAAGACUGGGAUAACUUCGGGAAACCGGAUCUAAUACCGGAUAAUAUUUUGAACCGCAUGGUUCAAAAGUGAAAGACGGUCUUGCUGUCACUUAUAGAUGGAUCCGCGCUGCAUUAGCUAGUUGGUAAGGUAACGGCUUACCAAGGCAACGAUGCAUAGCCGACCUGAGAGGGUGAUAGGCCACACUGGAACUGAGACACGGUCCAGACUACUACGGGAGGCAGCAGUAGGGAAUCUUCCGCAAUGGGCGAAAGCCUGACGGAGCAACGCCGCGUGAGUGAUGAAGGUCUUCGGAUCGUAAAACUCUGUUAUUAGGGAAGAACAUAUGUGUAAGUAACUGUGCACAUCUUGACGGUACCUAAUCAGAAAGCAACGGCUAACUACGUG